rnacentral:tRNA from 1 species
GGGAAUGUGGCUUAGUGGUAGAGUGCUUGCCUAGUAUGCAUGAUGCCCCAGAUUCAAUUCCUCAAUACCA